rnacentral:rRNA from 1 species
CACGUAGGGGACGAGCGUUGUCCGGAUUCAUUGGGCGUAAAGCGCGCGUAGGCGGCGCGGUAAGUCGGGUGUGAAAUCUCGGAGCUUAACUCCGAAACUGCAUUCGAUACUGCCGUGCUUGAGGACUGGAGAGGAGACUGGAAUUUACGGUGUAGCGGUGAAAUGCGUAGAUAUCGUAAGGAAGACCAGUGGCGAAGGCGGGUCUCUGGACAGUUCCUGACGCUGAGGCACGAAGGCCAGGGGAGCAAACGGG